GCACUACAGUGUAGGGUGCUGCCCCAACGCCCAAAUUUAAUACCCAAAUUGGCAGUCCACCCGCACCGCCGCGCCGUAUUCCUGUCAAAACUUGCUACACGAAAGAACGUGUAUCGACGUGAAAUUGUGGGCUCGAAUUCUUCGCAUUGGCCGACAGCCAACGCAGGCAGCGUCAGUGCCUGCAUGCGUCACGCAAAAAGCCCAAAAAUGUGUUUGCGUAGCACGUGCUUCCUGCCGACACACACGAGAUAAACGGAACAUGCGGCGGACCGCUGUCGCGUCAGGCCGCCUUUGAUAGGGCUAUUCCUAUGUGUGCGUUCCUCUAAUAGUACCGUUUGCUGCGAACUUACACGUGCAAAGUUCGGACCCGUUGAUUAACAAACAAGCAAAAAAAAAAGCGGAGGAGCGGGAGAUGCAAGGGGCAAAGGUAUACUGUAAACUGCCGCUGUCCUUAGCUGCUGAGCUGCACAAGAAAGAGUAAAAUCGCAAGUAGGCCAAAAUUAGGUCAGUAGCAUUUCCUCCGUGAGCUGUGCGGUUAGUAAAAGAAGAAAACGAGGAGACAGAGAAAGACGAAGUGCGGUAAUGCGUCGCACUGUGAUUGGGGCCGCACGUUUCGCGACACGUGAUCGCAGGGCAUGACGGAACGCUUGGUGACUGGACACGUGGCUGACGAGGCCGCGCAGAUAGAGACGGUGCCCAGCUGCGUGCAAUUUCGAACGCGACUGCGGCAGGCUCGCGGCAACGGAACCGCUCUUCCGAGCAAGGUCUGUGGCUUCCCGGUGCCCCUCAUCUACCCGAAACAGACGACCAGGCCCGCCGUCCAGGACCCGUCGAUUGCGAGCGAGGUCCUUGGUUGCCUGGCAUUCCCUGGCCUACCAGGAACAAGGAUCCCAAGGCGACUUCCCGAGACGCGCUGCGUUCUAGCGACAUUCGGCAACGCCAGGGACGAGAUUGUGCGGCUCCAUGGGACAGCCGAUGGAGAGGCUCAGACCCGACACCCGGGGAACACACAACCCGACACGCCACCCGCUUCCUGAGCCACGCAUGCGGGCCGCUGCUAUAGCAGGCAAUUCCACGUGAGCCUUACGGUGCUACCUCAGUAGGAGGCUACAAUUGCCGUGAGAGCAUCGGAAAUUUUGCAGCGAAGUUGGGCAUGACGGAACGCUUGGUGACUGGACACGUGGCUGACGUGGCCGCGCAGAGAGAUAGACGGCGCCCAGCUGAGUACAAUUUCGAACGCGACUGCGGCCUGCUCACGACAACGGAACCGUUCUUCCGAGCAAGGCAUGUGGCUUCCCGGUGCCCUUCAUCUACCCGGAGCAGACGACCAGGGCCGCCGUCCGGGACCCGUCGGAUUGUGAGCGAGGUCCUUGGUUCCCUGGCAUUCCCCGGCCUACCAGAAACAAGGGUUUCGAGGGGACUUCCCGAGACGCGCUGCGUUCUAGCCACGUCCGGCAACGCCAGGGUCAAGUUUGUGCGGCUCCAUGGGACAGCCUAUGGAGAGGUUCAGACCCGACGCGCCACCCGCCUCCUGAGCCACGCAUGCGGGCCGCUGUUAUAGCAGGCAAUUCCACGUGAGCCCUACGGUGCUACCUCAGUAGGACACUACAGUUGCCGUGAGAGCAUCGGAAAUUUUGCAGUGAAGUUGGCACAUGAAGAACUGAAGCACGCCCAUCGAGCACCGAUGUAUUUGCAAGGACAACGUUUGAAACCACCUGCGAUGACACCUCCUUCCUCGGAUGAGAUGCUGUACUAAGGUUGAAGCUUGAAGAUCUUGGAAACUUGAAUGGGAGAUGAUGUAAUUACUCAUGCAAGGGCAACAACUCAGGCCGAAACAAGAAGCCCGUUUUCACGGGUGAAUUCGGGGCAAGCCCUGGCUUCACCUUUACUGAGGCCCCACCAGACUACAUUCCUUCCUGCUCCAGACCACCCGCAUCCCACUUAGGCACUCCAGCGUCCGCUACGUUGAAGCCGAAUAUCUUGGUCUUGAGGCACAUUUUGCUUGAGCGAUUCGGCGGCCAUGCGAACACUUCCACCAGGGAAGAAACCGCAAUUAUGAAGACUUCUUUCACGGUCAGCGUGAGUCGGUACUACCAUUCCCAAGUCUAACACCACGAGAACAACCAAGAAAGAUGAACCUUUCUUUCAGACAAAAGAGAACUCCGAAUAAGCAGAUCCUCCCAGAGUGUUCACGGUGUAUGUCAUCGACAGUUUCCCGGCGGGGCGAAAUGCUCUUCUCGGCAGUCUUCCAGUGUCCAGGAUGGUGCAUAAUGUGACAUGUUGUCCACGAAUAUCUACAAUGUGCACCCGGGAAUUGUGCAGAAGAUCAUUGAAUCUAGCUUUUUUUUUUCUUUGUAAAGCAACACAGAAUGAAAGCGUCAGUAUUCCUGUAUGCGAUGGUAACAUGCGGCCUGCUGUGCCGAGAAGUAUUAAGGCGUGCGAGCGCAGGCGCUAACAGUCUUGUUCAUGCUAUUUACACUACUAAGCCAACGAGCGAAAGAGCAAAGCCGCCUUCUGGCUUACCCUUGUCUGGAUAUGGACCAACGUCCCAAACCAAAACUACCCCCCGGAGAAGCAUGGCUCGGGUUUGGGGGCUGCUUGUUGGAGGCGAAAUGAAUGAUGACGACGGAAGCAAUGGUUGCGCGUUCUACUUUGUAGAACCCAACUCUUCCUGAUCUGACAAGGCAGCCCACAUAAUAAAGUGCUUAAUGACUCCUGAUGCGUUAUGCAAAAAAUGCCUCUAAUACAAGAAACCACAAAUAAAACGUUAAUGAACCUGGCACGUGCGCAAUAAAUGUCAUUUUAACGUGGUCUGCGUCUCACGUUGUGCAAAUAAUUAUUGUCUGUUUGACAGUCUUUUCAAAUGUUUCCUCUAUCGCUAAAGCUUCAUAUUUCGAAUAUUUUCGCAGAUUCAUCUCCCGGCCUUCGGUUUAUUGUUCAUUGCCGAAGUUGCCGGAGUGUUCAUUUCUUAACCUCAGUCAAAAAGUGUCGAAGCAUGCACUGGACAAAAAGUGGCAUCGUCUUACUUGUACUGCCUUCAAUUCAGGCCUUUCCUUUUAGAAGCAUUCCUACAUAUGUAUAUGGGCUAUUAAAUAGUUGUACCGCAUAAACAGUGCGACCAUAUUUUGAAGGAAAGGUGCAAUGGAAAACAUCCAAUUUCCUGAAACGUCACUAUCUUAGCAAAGGUACUGGUUUGGGAUAGUUGGUUACAAUUAAAGAUCAAUGGUAUUUGUGCGCCACUUGAAACGAGGACUAGGGAGGGACAGACACAAGCGUAAUGUCUCUGUUGUUCCCCAUGCAGUCCUCGUUUCAAGUGGUGCGCAAAUAUUAAUGUCUUGACAAAUAGCACUACACCGGCUAAAGUACGCGCUAACUCGGGUCUGAGAGAUUGGUAUGUUUUUGAGUCUUGUUGCUUUAACUUUACGAAGGUUCACAUUCGAGCUAUAUAGGCUCAUGCUUAGAUAAUAAACUUCAUUUCAACACCGGU